UACCUGGUUGGUCACGUCCCCCGGGAGGCCUCGGAUCAGUAUCUUGCGGCGGUUACGGAACUGGCGCUCAGUGUGUUCCAGGCGUUUCCGGAUCUCUUCCGGAUCGAGCGGCGGCAACUCUUGUUCGGGCGCCCGGCGAUCGACGGUCUCGGGAGUUUCCGCUUCGGCCUCCGCCUCUGGGCUCAGCGGCGGCCGGCUGAUCUUCAAUACCUUCAUUCAAGCAAUCCACCUGCCUCAGCAUUCCAAGCAACUGGAACUACAGAUGCACAACAGUACCAGCAGACUGAACGUCCUGUGUUGCUUCUGGAAGGUCAGUGAGGCUGCCACGGUCCACCUGUCUCCCUCAGGCUGGCUUACAGGCUUCCUGCCUGCUAGGGCAGGAAUCACUGACUUUCUCCUUCAAUAAUCUGCCAACAGUCUGAAAGGCUACGCUGAGGUGCAGUUAGGAGCACUCACCGGCUGUCCCAGCAUUUCACAGGGAGGCGGGAAGAUCAGGAAAUCAAGGUUAUCCUCAGAUAUGUGAGGUACUGAAGGGCAUCUAGGGCUAUGUAAGAUCCUGCCUCAGGAGACAGCUCAAGGGUAAAAGACGCUUGCUGCCAAGCCUGGCCACCUGAGCUCUAUCUCUGGUACCCACAUGAUGGAAGGAGAGGACUGACCAAAAAAGCUGUCCUCUGAGCUACACAAGUGCUAUGUGCAUCCGUAUAAAAACACCUUAACAAUAAUAAACAAAAAUAAAAUAAGAUCAAGCCAUGAAGAAAAGAUGUUGAGACGGUUGCUACGGAAAGAUCUUCCAACCUGGUCCUGCAUGGUACUGUGUCAGCAGGACCUGAAUUAAGACAGGAAUAACAACAACCAAAUAUGACACAAAGAGAAUCUGCUGCAUGCGGAGGAGCUGAGUGCAG
rnacentral:lncRNA from 1 species